UAAAAUGAUGAGAAAAAAACAGGCCAAAAAAGACGAGUAUGAAAAGAUGAGGAUAACCGUUAAUGCAUUUUUUCUUCGCCUCUGAUA
rnacentral:snoRNA from 1 species